UCAAUACUACCCAGUAACAAACUCGACAAUCCAAUACUUGACCUCUGCACAUGUUUGACGUACCUAUGUAUGUAAACUAUUUGUGAAUAGUUUGUUUUUGCUGUUUCUCCCUAAAUUGCAAGCAAAACAACACAUAAGGAAAUAGCCACCGUGAAAACAAAAGACUAGCCUAACUAAUCUAAAUAGUGUUACCAACCUCAGAGUAACUUACCUACUAAUGUUACCUAACUCUGGGCGGCAUUCAGAAGUUCUUAGUCUCAGAUGAUCUUUCAUACUAUUAUCACUGCUAUUACUACUACUGUUAUUAUCAUCAUCAUCAUCAUUGUUUUUUGCAACGUGAUCACUUCCAGCAUUAGCUGGUUUGCUGGGAUUAGUUGGCUUGUUUGUUUACUGGUCUGUUUUUGUUUUGUUUUGUUUUUGCCAUUUGUUUUGUGCUUGUAUUUUAUUUUUGUUUUCUUCAUUUGUCAAGCCAUAACAAUUUCUUUUGCUUUUUAAAAUAUUAGCUCUUUGAAAAGACCGAGUCAGCUGUCUUGAAGAAAACACAUUCUGGAUCUGUGGUUCUGGGUUGUUUAUGCUAUUUCUCUAGUUGCAUAAGUUUGAUCAACUUAUGGAAAGAAAGGAGCUAACAGGCCCAUAGCUUCAGGUAAACAUGUUCCAGACCAGCUUUGACCACACUGGAAGGCGUGGAGUGGGAACUGCUGGCCUAAGAAAAAGCAUGCCUGCCAGGCCUUUGUCACAGGUAAAAGUGGUGAGGAAGAAGCCCGAAGUUGGCAAUCUUUAUUAUUAUGUGUCCUUCCUUUUCCUGUCUGUCCACCCAUCAGUUGGUUCUACCUCCUGGUUCUUUGAAACUCACUCCACUUGUUCACAUGUAAUGUACUGUCAAGGCAAAAUACCUGCCACUCAAAGGGAGGAAAAGAUGGUUUAUUCUUGUGGUGAAUAGACUUUGGCUCAGGAACAUGCCAUUCAGGAUGCCCCGAAUGACGUAUUUGGAAUGGAAUAUGGAAAUAGUUUCAUGAAGCUCUUAUAAAAGCUACAGAAGAACAGAAAGCCAUAAAGCAAGGCAUUUUUCAAAUACACUGGUGGAAACACCAGAUAGGCAGAUUACAGCGAAGCGAGGAAAUCUGUUACAUUCUCAGAUAUGUUUGAUUAAAAAUUCCUAGCUUUGGGGUGGGUAGGAGCUAGUGGUCUGUUAAUACUUUCCAAACACUUUUACAUGAUAGUUAAAGGGAUACAAGGUCAGACAUAGAGGCAGACAGUGAAUGUUAAAACAAGUCAACAUAGCCCAAGACAGUUUCACUCUGUAUCUGCAACAUCCUAAUUCUGGACAAUCACAUUGUAACCAAUCUUUCAACCAUGUGGAAUCUUUAAUGUAGAGAUGUGGUUUUUUUGGUUUCUUUUUUUUUUUCUGGGAAAUUCAGUUCACAGUAUACAUGGUGAAAGUAGAACAAAUCCACCAUUGCCAGGUAAAAAUACUUGUAAACUUCAUCUCCAAACUUAACUUACAGACCAAUAGAGGACCUCAAGUGUGUGCUGAGAAAAAAAGAUGAGAUAAACAGCAAUGAAGGACUGCUUUGAAUCUGACCUUAAAAAGACAGAGGAAGUCUCCUGCCUUGCAAACUUUGCAAGUAAAGGGACUCUAAUUCCACCUAGCUCAGAUAUGAGCAGUCUUGGAAGUCUGAAGCAGAACACUGAAGAGGAGCCAUUUUCAUUGAAGAAGGCACCGGGAUCGGCACCAAGACCAGCUCAGGCCUUUUGUAUCAUUUUUUUCCUCUUUGCUUAGAUGUUAUCUUUCCAAGUAAGUUCCUAGGAGACCCAGAACUAUAGGAUCAAGAGAGGAAACGAAGUGAUUCCCUCUGUUAGAAAGAUGCUACAUCAAAGAUCCCUUCAGCAUCAAGGAAGAGACCUUGUCAGACUAUUUUGCCUUCUCAGCCUUGUCUCUAUCAGAUCCUAGGAAAGUAUCUUCCUAGCACGUGGGGACACAAAACAAUGUUUGGCUUUCAAAUGCCCAAAACAUGAUGCUUCACCAAAGAGGAGCAACUGUGAAUGGAAAUCCCCCAAAGGCUACAUCUGUGUUACAGAUUGUGAGAUGGAGUGACAAGAACAGCGUGGAGAGUUAGGAUACUCCAGAGUCAAUCCCAAAGUUGCUCAGCUGUCUUUGGUCCCUUUCAUAGCAGUUUACCACCAUACCUAACAUCAUUCUCACUAUCAGAUAAAACUUUUGUAGUAUUUCACCUACUCCAAAGCUAAGAAUGUCAUCAGAUGGUAUCUGAAGCCUGUAGGAGGGACCUGCCCACCUGAUGUCCCCAUCAAUGCAUUUGGUAAAUGCACUGAUUUGUUCAAUGACUAUAAAAGUCUGCAUAACCUCUUCCAUGGUGGAAUAUGUCAUUUGGGGCAACCUGAAUCCAUGUUGCUGGGCAAUAGUCACUCAUAUUUGGCUCAGAAUAAACUCUUAUAUUCUUUUUAGUGCAAAAAUAAAAGUAAAUAGAGAUGAA